rnacentral:lncRNA from 1 species
AUGAGACAAAAUAUAAUAUCUACCAACAAAAAGAGAAGUUCAGUCAAAAAGAUAUUCAUGCCAAGUACCAUGAACAAAUCAGUGCAAUUACAGCACAAGGCAGAAUCUCUAAUUGCAAUACUUAAAUCAAUUAUAAUUGCAGGAGCCCAGGUACACCACAGCAUCUGGUCAGGCAGGAUGUCUCACUGGGGGCUGAGCCAAACAGCCAAGAACACCAUCACCAAUGCCAUCCACAUGGGCACCUCUCAAACAUGGACCUUGGGUUCAGUCCCACAGGGAAGCCCUCCACAGAACACCCUCCAAGAGCAGAGCUGAGGUUUUGGUUUUCCCCGGGACUAUAUCAACCUGCUACUCGCAGAUGCGGACGCUGCACUUCACAGGCAGAAGCACAAACAUCAAACUGGGCUGCUGCAGACUUCAGGCAUUGACUUCAGUGGAAGACAGCCACAUCUUGCUGUGGGGAAAACAGGCCAAGCAAUUAAAUAUGCAUCAGCAUUAAAGCUAAAUAUACAGAAAUAGCUUACAGACAUAAUUCUGCCUUACCAGCUCGGCAUGCAUAACCUGCAUACAUAUUUCAUUUUUAACUAUGAAGACAAAACUUUUGUGCAAUAUACUUUCUGUGACACUAUCUUUACCAUUCCAUGCAUCACUGAGACUUGCAGCAAUAAAAAAUAAUAUGACAGCAUUAGUAGUAACUAGGCUUUUUUUUUUUUUUACUAGAAACUUAUUCAAAUUAUAAUUGACUUUAGAGACAAUACCGUAACAUUAACAAUAAGUAUCUCAUAAAAUUCCUUUCUUGGUGCUUAAGCCUCCAGUGUUCAGCUCUGACCUUCCAAUUCUUUCUUUUCUUCCUUUACCUUUUUUCUUUAACAGUCAAUUCCCAAUAAUAUAAUCCAUAAUAACGUGAACUCAUAACAAAAGGCAGGCCUGUGAGCCAUUCUGCCUCAGAGCAACAUCCACAGCACACAAAAAAGCCAAAAAAUCAAACAAAAUAAAAAAAGAAACAAAACAAAAAAACCCAACAAACCAACAAAAAAACCCAAACCAAACCAAACAAAAAAACAGGCAGAAACAUUAAGCUGCAGCCACAAAUUUAAUCCUUACUUCCAACAGCAAAAUGAGGGUAUCUGCAUCCCACAUUUCAUAUAACUUUAUAUU